rnacentral:rRNA from 1 species
CCUACGGGAGGCAGCAGUAGGGAAUCUUCCACAAUGGGCGAAAGCCUGAUGGAGCAACGCCGCGUGAGUGAUGAAGGCCUUCGGGUUGUAAAACUCUGUCAUUCGGGACGAACCGGAGUCUGAGGAAAUGCAGACUCUCUGACGGUACCGGAGGAGGAAGCCCCGGCUAACUACGUGCCAGCAGCCGCGGUAAUACGUAGGGGGCAAGCGUUGUCCGGAUUCACUGGGCGUAAAGCGCGCGCAGGCGGUGAUGUAAGUCUGAGGUGAAAACCCGAAGCUCAACUUCGGGACUGCCUUGGAUACUGCGUCACUUGAGGAUAGGAGAGGCAAGGGGAAUUCCACGUGUAGCGGUGAAAUGCGUAGAGAUGUGGAGGAACACCUGUGGCGAAGGCGCCUUGCUGGCCUAUUUCUGACGCUGAGGCGCGAAAGCGUGGGGAGCAAACAGGAUUAGAUACCCUGGUAGUCCACGCUGUAAACGAUGAGUGCUAGGUGUAGGUGGGCUCAUACCCAUCUGUGCCGAAGCUAACGCAUUAAGCACUCCGCCUGGGGAGUACGGUCGCGAGACUGAAACUCAAAGGAUUGACGG